rnacentral:rRNA from 1 species
GAUGAACGCUAGCGGCAGGCCUAACACAUGCAAGUCGAGGGGUAGAACACUUCGGUGUUUGAGACCGGCGCACGGGUGCGUAACGCGUAUGCAAUCUACCUUGUACAGGGGAAUAGCCCAGAGAAAUUUGGAUUAAUGCCCCAUAGUAUAUAACCUUCGCAUGUUGGUUAUAUUAAAGUUCCAACGGUACAAGAUGAGCAUGCGUCCCAUUAGUUAGUUGGUAAGGUAACGGCUUACCAAGACGAUGAUGGGUAGGGGUCCUGAGAGGGAGAUCCCCCACACUGGUACUGAGACACGGACCAGACUCCUACGGGAGGCAGCAGUGAGGAAUAUUGGUCAAUGGGCGCAAGCCUGAACCAGCCAUGCCGCGUGCAGGAAGACGGUCCUAUGGAUUGUAAACUGCUUUUAUACAGGAAGAAACAACUCUACGUGUAGAGUCUUGACGGUACCGUAGGAAUAAGGAUCGGCCAACUCCGUGCCAUCAGCCGCAGUAAAAC